rnacentral:rRNA from 1 species
AGAGUUGAUUAUGGCUCAGGAUGAACGCUAGCGGCAGGCUUAACACAUGCAAGUCGAGGGGCAGCGGGAUGUAGCAAUACAUUGCCGGCGACCGGCGGAUGGGUGCGUAACGCGUAUGCAACCUACCUUAUACAGGGGAAUAACCUUUCGAAAGGGAGACUAACACCCCAUAGUAUUGAUUUAAGGCAUCUUAGAUUAAUUAAAUAUUUAUAGGUAUAAGAUGGGCAUGCGUAUGAUUAGCUAGUUGGUAAGGUAACGGCUUACCAAGGCGACGAUCAUUAGGGGUUCUGAGAGGAAGGUCCCCCACACUGGUACUGAGACACGGACCAGACUCCUACGGGAGGCAGCAGUGAGGAAUAUUGGUCAAUGGGCGCAAGCCUGAACCAGCCAUGCCGCGUGCAAGGAAGACGGCCUUAUGGGUUGUAAACUGCUUUUACAUAAGACUAACCGUAUAUUUGCGAAUAUACCUGAAUGUAUUAUGAGAAUAAGGAUCGGCUAACUCCGUGCCAGCCGCCGC